AGAUAUCACUCUUUCUAUCCUUUACACAGAGAAGGUGCAUAUACACAUCUCAUGAAUGAUGAAGAUCGUGAGAACUUGAAAUGGCUACACGUAUUCAACAAAUAUGAUCUGUAUAGUAAGAGCAAAGUCUUAGUUGAUGUAGAAAAAGUUAAGCCAUACUAUCAAUCUCUUAUUGAGAAGUAUUUCCCAGCAAAGCUUAGAUGGUGAAACUUCAAUAUGAUGGAUGGAAGCCAAGAGGGAAUUGAGUUUUUUUUUUUUUCUUGAAACCAUGUUACAAAAUAUGUUGAAAGCUGAAACUGAUCAAUCCGUCACGUUUAUCCAGUCUUUAAACAUUGAACUACUGUACUCUAUAACGCAUAAAUUUAUGUACAUGCAUUGUGUAUUAGCAUACUGCGAAGAGCACAUAAUAAAUUAUAUACUAUUCAUAUA